ACGACAUAACGACUCCGUGGCGCAACGGUAGCGCGUCUGACUCCAGAUCAGAAGGUUGCGUGUUCAAAUCACGUCGGGGUCAAUUGUUUUAUUGAUCCUGUAAAGAUACAAUGGCGGCUGAAAUUAUCUACGACCUAAGUAUUGUCUAGAUUCCCUGCUUCCAAUCAACGUUGGUAAAAUACAGAUAUUGUUUUUUUUUUCCACGGUAUAGUUACGUAGGAAAGUGCAAUACAUACUAUCAAUAUCCUACAAAGAUUGAGGGCGUAUUUUACAAGAUUCAACAGCUAAGUGCUCGAACCGUCUACAGUUUAUUUUUAUGAAUAAAAUGGUAUAACUGUCAAAUAUAGCCUUCGAAACAUAGGGAGAAAACCAUAACUUUUGAUAUAUAUUUUACAUUUAUUUUGAUUAAAGUGUUAUUCGAUAGUAAUUUUAUUAUAGUUCUCGAGCGUGGUAGCAAAAUUAUUUUUUUUAUCCACACAGUAGUAUCGAGUGAGUGAAUAAAGACAGCAAUAUUGUGUGAGCGAGAGAUGAUUAUCGCCACCAUUUUAAAUUCCAUCUUUAUUGGAACGAAUUUUAUGGACACACAUAUUAGGAGAAUUACUGAUUUGAGUCAGUAUAGCAUACAUUCCGGUCAACGAGCCAGAUGAAUCUUAUUUGUUAUAAGAAUAGGAAUCAACACUCCAUUGAACAAUAUAAUAAUAUAUUCUAAGGAUUUACGUAGAUUACUAUCUUUUGAAUAAAGGAAUUGAAGUAAGCCCACCAGGCCUAUUUUGUGCAAUGAUCAAUCCAAAGAUAGCAAUCGAAGAUCGAACGACGAUUAAACGAUCCCAGUUUGAAUAUUCAAUGAUGGUGUGUACUCACGGAUGCUUCCCGUCCUUGCCGACUAGGCUGCGCAGGUCCCUCAUUACCCUGGCCUCGGUGAUGGUGGCGCGGCG